GCAUCCAUCCCGCAGGAUCGACCACCGCUCCGAUCGUCGACUGCAUUAUGACUGUUGUCGAGUAGCCCUUCCAUGGCCGUCCUAGGUACGUCGGGACUGUUAUGGUGUCGUAUGGCGAUAUCGUAGAGCCUUGGAUCGAUAUACCGGUGUUCUCAUUCGGGUCUUUACGACCCUGAGCGGUAAUGGUGUUCUGCUGGUUGGGCAGUGGCUGCCUGGGUCGGAUGUUGCAGUUUUGGAAAACGACGGCUGCGUCACCGAAGAUGAAGUCGACAGUGCCUGCGAUGUCGCAGUCGCGGUAGAACUGGCGGAGGGA
rnacentral:misc_RNA from 1 species